CAAGACGUGUAUAAGAAGAUAAUUGAUCAAUGAUCUUGUCUUGCAAAUCUGUAUUAGGUACCAUCCUUGCAAUGACAUCAUUAAAGGCAUCACUUACAUGCUACCAAAGGUUAUCU